GGCAUGCCCGGUGGUGGAAUGGAGGGCAACUCUGAAGAUGGAAUGGUGGACACGCAGGGGCACGGAGGUGGAA